rnacentral:rRNA from 1 species
AUUGAACGCUGGCGGUAUGCUUAACACAUGCAAGUCGAACGGUAGCAGGCCUUCGGGCGCUGACGAGUGGCGGACGGGUGAGUAAUGCAUAGGAAUCUGCCUAUUAGUGGGGGAUAACGUGGGGAAACCCACGCUAAUACCGCAUACGAUCUACGGAUGAAAGCUGGGGACCUUCGGGCCUGGCGCUAAUAGAUGAGCCUAUGUCGGAUUAGCUAGUUGGUGGGGUAAAGGCCUACCAAGGCGACGAUCCGUAACUGGUCUGAGAGGAUGAUCAGUCAAACUGGAACGGAGACACGGUCCAGACUCCUACGGGAGGCAGCAGUGGGGAAUAUUGGACAAUGGGCGAAAGCCUGAUCCAGCAAUACCGCGUGUGUGAAGAAGGCCUGAGGGUUGUAAAGCACUUUCAAUAGGAAGGAAUACCGGCUGGUUAAUACCCGGCAGACUGACAUUACCUAUACAAGAAGCACCGGCUAACUCCGUGCCAGCCGCCGCCGUAA